rnacentral:lncRNA from 1 species
GUUGUCUGGGUCUGGUUAAGGGGGUGUUGUUGUGUUGUCUGGGUCUGGUUGAGGGGGUGUUGUUGUGCUGGACUGUUGUCCGGGUCUGGUUAAGGGGGUGUUGUUGUGCUGGACUGUUGUCCGGGUCUGGUUAAGGGGGUGUUGUUGUGCUGGAUUGUUGUCUGGGUCUGGUUAAGGGGGUGUUGUUGUGUUGUCUGGGUCUGGUUGAGGUGGUGUUGUUGUGCUGGACUGUUGUCUGGGUCUGGUUGAGGGGGUGUUGUUGUGUUGUCUGGGUCUGGUUGAGGGGGUGUUGUUGUCUGGGUCUGGUUUAGGGGGUGUUGUUGAGCUGGACUGUUGUCUGGGUCUGGUUGAGGGGGUGUUGUUGUGCUGGACUGUUGUCUGGUUAAGGGGGUGUUGUUGUGCUGGACUGUUGUCUGGGUCUGGUUAAAGGGGUGUUGUUGUGCUGGACUGUUGUCUGGGUCUGGUUAAGGGGGUGUUGUUGUGUUGUCUGGGUCUGGUUGAGGGGGUGUUGUUGUGCUGGACUGUUGUCUGGGUCUGGUUGAGGGGGUGUUGUUGAGCUGGACUGUUGCCUGGGUCUGGUUGAGGGGGUGUUGUUGUGCUGGACUGUUGUCUGGGUCUGGUUGAGGGGGUGUUGUUGUGCUGGACUGUUGUCUGGGUCUGGUUAAGGGGGUGUUGUUGAGCUGGACUGUUGUCUGGGUCUGGUUAACGGGGUGGUGUUGUGUUGUACUGUUGUCUGGUUAAGGGGGUGUUGUUGUGCUGGACUGUUGUCUGGGUCUGGUUGAGGGGGUGUUGUUGUGUUGUCUGGGUCUGGUUAAGGGGGUGUUGUUGUGCUGGACUGUUGUCUGGGUAUGGUUAAGGGGGUGUUGUUGAGCUGGACUGUUGUCUGGGUCUGGUUGAGGGGGUGUUGUUGUGCUGGACUGUUGCCUGGGUCUGGUUGAGGGGGUGUUGUUGUGCUGGACUGUUGUCUGGGUCUGGUUGAGGGGGUGUUGUUGAGCUGGACUGUUGUCUGGGUCUGGUUAACGGGGUGGUGUUGUGUUGUACUGUUGUCUGGUUAAGGGGGUGUUGUUGUGCUGGACUGUUGUCUGGGUCUGGUUGAGGGGGUGUUGUUGUGUUGUCUGGGUCUG